rnacentral:lncRNA from 1 species
GGUGUAAUAUACUGACUGGUGGUAAUAUACUGGUGGUGAUAUACUGACUGGUGGUAAUAUACUGACUGGUGGUAAUAUACUGACUGGUGGUAAUAUACUGGUGGUAAUAUACUGGUGGUAAUAUACUGGUGGUAAUAUACUGGUGGUAAUUGUGUAAUAUACUUGUAGUAUAUAAUACUGGUUAUACUGGACUGGUGUGACUGGUGAAGUAAUAUACUGACUGGUGGUAACUAACUGGUGGUAAUACUGACUGGUGGUAUAUAACGAUGGUGGUAAUAUACUGACUGGUGGUAAUAUACUGUGUGGUAAUAACUGACUGGUGUACUACUACUGGUGGUACUAUAAACUCACUUGGGUAAUAUACUGACUGGUGGUAAUAUACUGUGGUAGUACAUAUGAUGGUGGUAAUAUACGGGUGUUAAUAUACUGACUGGUGGUAUAUACUGGUGGUACUGAC